UUACAAUUUAAAAUAACUGUUUUCUUAUUUAAUAUAUUUUAAAAUGUAAGUUAUUCCUCUGAUGUUAAGCAGAAUUUCUUAUUAAAAAAAACUUACUGACCCCAAAAUUUUGAACCCUAAACUCACCUCAUGUAGAGACCAAGAAUGUGGCCGUUAUAUUAAUAAGUAAUUGCAUUUUGUAGUGUGAUUCUCGGGUAUUUUUGUCUCACUGUUUAAUGUCAAGACUUUAUCUGACAAAAAAAAAAGUUUUUGUAGGAAUGUAGUGUCAGUCCUGUAGGGAUCUGGAAUGGAUUUGGCCGUACACACUGUGGGGUUCACAGGGCAUCUGUCUUUGUCAUGUACGAGGGCUUUCGAUGUCUGACUCAGCUGUGCAUACAGAAACCCUGUUUUCACUCGUGUCACACACAGAGAGGGUUGGGAUUCCCAACAUGGUGUCUAUGUGCACCUUUCAAGCUGGUUAGCCUCUAUCAGAGCUUUGAUGUUUACCUUUGAUCUAAUUCAAAAUGAUGCUUAAUAGCGGUUGGGAAUUAGGCGAGGCGAUUGGUUGAGAACCAAAAAUUCAAGGCCUUUAGUGCACAUCAGAAACCUCAAACUUUACAUAUUUAAUCAAUAUUACCUUGAUUUGAUUAGCUUAUGAUCAAAGCAAAUCAUGUUACAGUUGCAAAACACCCAUUAUUAUUCAAUCAAAGUCAGUCUUUAACUCAAUCCAUUCGCAAACAAGUCAGUUCUCAGCUGGAUGGUGACUUGUGUAUAUUCUUAAGUGUCCUUAAGAAAGAAAAGCUGUAAUAUGAGGCUGAAGGACCAAUGUUGGUGAAGUAUUUGUGGUUGCACGUCUGUCUUUUGCCUAACUUGUGCUGUUUACAUAGGUCUGUGUACCAUCUAUUAGCUUUACUACAAACUGCACACAAGAUGAAAUAUUUGGUUUUAUUCCUUUUAAUUCUCCUUUUUCAGUCUCAAUUUAUGUUUAAUCCCUUACUGAGAGACAUAAUAAAGUGUCUUUAUAUAUAUAAAAAAUUCUGUUUUCAACACAAGGAUGUGAUCCGCUCAUCUUUGGUGGUUUCUUGUAUAUCAUGCACACUAAUGUGUGGAUUUAGUCAUAGCAGUUACUUUAGGAAUGCUGCUCAUGCUUUACAUUUGUUGUGUAAUAUGUCAACUAGAAUACAUUUGUGUUUUUUUUAUUUAGCCAUUUGUUACGUCAGAUUGUUUUUCCAUGUAAUGAAGCCUGUAUCAGGACUCUAAAAUGAAAGAUUUCAUAAUAUGACAGUCUUUAACACAUCAUUCUGCAAAAAUGACUUAAUGAUGUUAUCCAUGUGUUCUGAGAUCUAGGCUCUUGGUUUAAAGAUGUUGCCAAGAACAACUGUAAUUGAAGACAAGUGUGUGCCCUGCUUCACUCUCUUUUUCAGAAUUGUAGGAACAUUGUAUUAUAAUGUAUAAAAUAGGAAUUCUGUUCAGAUGUGGGAGGAGGAAUUUGUUCAGGAAGAUAAAUAAAAUACAUUUUAUGAACGAAA
ensembl:lncRNA